CGCAUGUCCGGAAGUGGAGCUUCCGCGUGAUCAGAAUAAACAAAUAUCAGUGCGUUCAGUGUUUUACUGUUUAAUGAGUUUAAUAACUAAGAAGAUUUUUACAGUUUGACUCAUUAAAGUUUAAUUUAUUUUGUGUGUCUGCGGGCCUCGGGAGCGCGCACAGGCUUGCGCAGCGCGGGCUCGACUAGAUAUAGAUCAAUGUUGAUGUGAGAUUUUACAGUCUGUUAGUGGAUUUAGUCGAUCAACAGGAUGGUGUGUGAGCUGCUGCUGUCGUCAGUCUGGUUUCUCUUUGUGAUCUUCUGGUUGGAGACCAUCAGUGUUUGGCUCUUCUUGUGUUUGUACUAUCAGGACCGAGUUUAUUAUCACUGGGGCUCCAGGGAGUUUGCAGAUGAUCCAGGCCAGUUCCUGUAUGUGCUGAGCAGAAUUGAUCUCUCUGCACAUAUGCAAACAUGAGGAAGUGAUGUCAUCACGUUGGGAGAGUCGUGCCAAGACCAAAGGAAGAGAAGACGUGGCUUGAUCAGAAGGGUCAUCAGUGAUGUCAUCUCUCAUGAAGCGAGUGAGAGCCAAUCAGAGUUUGUGAUGAUGUGUGGGUUAAAGAGUUUCUAGAAACUGCCUGUAGAGAUUCUAGUUCACUCUCACAUAUUUACAGUUAAAGAAACAUCUUUGACAAACGUUGUUUCAAAAAGUGUGUCCAUGUUAUAGACGUGUAUAAACUGUAACGGAGACACACACUGUUCAUGCUGAAAUCAGUUUUAUUACAGACAUUUUUCAUUUAUUUAGAGGGCAACACAAUAAAAUACUUCAGAU